CCUACGGGGGGCUGCAGUGGGGAAUAUUGGACAAUGGGCGAAAGCCUGAUCCAGCCAUGCCGCGUGUGUGAAGAAGGCCUUCGGGUUGUAAAGCACUUUCAGUGGGGAAGAAAGCCUUGGGGCUAAUACCCUCGAGGAAGGACAUCACCCACAGAAGAAGCACCGGCUAACUCCGUGCCAGCAGCCGCGGUAAUACGGAGGGUGCGAGCGUUAAUCGGAAUUACUGGGCGUAAAGCGCGCGUAGGCGGUCUGAUAAGCCGGUUGUGAAAGCCCCGGGCUCAACCUGGGAACGGCAUCCGGAACUGUCAGGCUAGAGUACAGGAGAGGAAGGUAGAAUUCCCGGUGUAGCGGUGAAAUGCGUAGAGAUCGGGAGGAAUACCAGUGGCGAAGGCGGCCUACUGGACUGACACUGACGCUGAGGUGCGAAAGCGUGGGUAGCAAACAGGAUUAGAUACCCCUGUAGUC
rnacentral:rRNA from 1 species